rnacentral:lncRNA from 1 species
GUUUCUCUCAGCAACACUGAAAACAUCUGUUUCUAGACUUUGAUAGUUGUUGGGGCUGGGACAUAUGCACAGAACUUCACAGGAAUCUGUUAGUCUAAUGCUUUAGAAAUGCUUAGCAAGCCCGAAAGAAUUAAACUAAUUAGUCAGAUCAGGACAUCUUGGGCAUUUCCCUUUAUUCAAAGUUGUAGAGACACUUAAAAUUCCGGGAAAGGGGAUUCAAAUAGGAAUUUAAGUCAAAAACCAAAUAACUCAUGGUGGGUUUACAAGUCAUUAUUCUAGUUAGACUCUUCAUCCACAUAUCUACAGGGUAGGCAACCGAAAUACAUAUUCAAUAAAUAACGUUGAAAGGUCCAUCAAACCGAAGCAUCAUUUACUACGAAUUGAUGUGCUUAGGAAAGAAACAACUGCCUUUAAAAUUCUGAGGUUAAACAGUUACUCUAACUGUUCUUUAGUUUCAUUUCCUCCCAGGAUGUACUGCUCUUUUUUAAAUAGGGCGUGUACUAGAAAUGAAGUUUAACGUAAGUCUGUUGUUUACAAUGUUAAGAGAGAGAGGGUAAGAGGGAAAAGGAGAGCUGAGAGAAUGCAGCCCACUUGCAAAACAGGCACCUGUUUCAGUAUGAAGCAGCAGGGAGAGGGAGAAUGAAGUGUGCUUUCCACUUCUUCAGGUCCUUUCCUUGAUGAAUGGUCUGGAAAUGUAUAAAACAAGGGCAUAGGCAGACCAAGGGGGCACGUUCCACACAAUACUGAGCACAGCAUGUCACUUGUAUCACAUAUUAAACAUCGGUGAAUAUCUUUUUGAUGUUGACACAAGAGUUGGGAUUAUUGUUCGUGGUGCAGGUGGCAGUGGAAUUGCCCGUUUUGAAAGGGGUCUGGGGGAAAGCGCUAUGGUUCAUACCCCCCUCUUCGAUCACCAUAUACUCCGACUUACUCAGAGUCGAGUUACUCCUUGCUUUUCGGAGCUCCUCGGCUGAAGAGGAGAGGUGCUGGCAACUUCCCACGUGCAUGUACUGGGAUUGCUCUUCCCCUUCUGUCUCCCGGUGGUAGAAGUAAUUGAAGUUGGAAACAAUCACGGGAACUGGCAAUGCGAUGGUCAAGACACCGGCGAUGGCACAGAGAGAUCCCACAAUCUUGCCCCCUAUGGUCACUGGGUGCAUAUCGCCGUAACCCACUGUUGUCAUGGUUACCACUGCCCACCAGAAGGCAUCCGGGAUGCUGCUGAAACCUGAAGUGGGGUCGUCUGCCUCGGCAAAGUAGACCGCGCUGGAGAAAAGGAUGACCCCAAUAAAGAGGAAGAAGAUGAGCAAUCCCAGCUCCCGCAUGGACGCCUUCAGCGUUUGCCCGAGGAUCUGCAGCCCCUUGGAGUGGCGCGACAGCUUGAAGAUGCGGAAGACCCUUACCAGGCGGAUGACCCUCAGGAUGGCCAGAGACAUGGCCUGCUGUCCAUUGCCCUGUCGUUCGGCCAGCUCGGUACCCAGAGUGAUAAAAUAAGGAAUGAUGGCCACAAUGUCGAUCAGGUUCAUGAUGUUUCGCGAGAAGGUGGCUUUGCUAGGACAAGCGAAGAACCGCACCAGCAGUUCGAAGGAGAACCAGAUGAUGCACAGCGUCUCCACCACGAAGAAGGGAUCGGAGAAGCUGGAGGCUCCUGCGCGGGACCCCGACGUGCUGUUGCCGGCUGCUUCGAAUGAGUCCUGCGACGUCGAGGCGGGGUAGUCCUUCUCGUCGCGGAACUCCGGCAGCGUCUCCAGGCAGAAGAUGACAAUGGAGAUGAGGAUGACCAGCACGGACACGAUGGCGAUGCCCCGGGCCGGCCCGGAGCUCUCGGGGUACUCGAAGAGCAGCCACACCUGGCGCUGGAAGUCGCGGCGGGGCAAGGGCCGCUCCUCCUCCCGCAGGAAGCCCUCGUCCUCGCGGAACUUCUCCAUGGCCUCCUCGCCCAGCUGGUAGAAGCGGAUCUCCUCGGAGAAAAUGUCGAUGGGCACGUUGACCGGCCGGCGGAUGCGGCCCCCGGACUGAUAGUAGUAGAGGAUGGCGUCGAAGCUGGGCCGGUUGCGGUCGAAGAAGUACUCGUUGCGGAGCGGGUCGAAGUACCUCAUGCGCCGCUUGGGGUCGCCCAGCAGCGUCUCGGGGAACUGGCAAAGGGUCUUCAGCUGCGUCUCGAAGCGCAGCCCGGAGAUGUUGAUGACCACGCGCUCCCCGCAGCAGUCCUGCUCGCCCGCGGCCGGCAGUGAGGGCGGCAGCGGCUCGUAGCG